UACGGAGGAUCCAAGCGUUAUCCGGAUUUAUUGGGUUUAAAGGGUGCGUAGGCGGCUUAUUAAGUCAGGGGUGAAAGACGGUGGCUCAACCAUCGCAGUGCCUUUGAUACUGAUGAGCUUGAAUACACUUGAGGUAGGCGGAAUGUGACAAGUAGCGGUGAAAUGCAUAGAUAUGUCACAGAACACCAAUUGCGAAGGCAGCUUACUAAGGUGCAAAUUGACGCUGAGGCACGAAAGCGUGGGGAGUCAAACAGGA
rnacentral:rRNA from 1 species